rnacentral:rRNA from 1 species
CCUACGGGAGGCAGCAGUGGGGAAUACUGCACAAUGGGCGCAAGCCUGAUGCAGCGACGCCGCGUGAGGGAUGACGGCCUUCGGGUUGUAAACCUCUUUCAGUAGGGAAGAAGCGAAAGUGACGGUACCUGCAGAAGAAGCGCCGGCUAACUACGUGCCAGCAGCCGCGGUAAU